GUUAAAUAUUGUCUCCCCCACCCCUUUAAAAAUGUGCCAUUGUGUUGUGAUAAGUCACUGUGUGUUGCCUGCUAUGGUUUGACUGUUUUUGAUUUUAUUGAGGUUUCACAACAAUGUUAUGGUGUUGAACCUAUGGGCUGGUCCCAAGGGAAAUAAAGAUUUAGACAGUUCUUCUUGAUCCCUCUAAAUGUAGCCUUGUCUCGUUAUUGGAGGGAGCUGUUAUAAUCACACUGGGGAUUGCUAUGCUCU